CCUAUAUUUCGCCACUCCGUUCCGUAAUCUCGAAGCACCCUGCUCACGCCGAAGGUCAUCGUCCUCUUCCUCUGGCUUGUUUCUCGAUCACGAAUCCGCCAUUUAUCCCGUAAGUUCUCAGCGCUGGUUGGUCAUCAUUUUCGUUAUAAGCUAAUCGUCGCAGUUUUUCACUCACAAGGCUCAUCUCCCUGUCCCCCAUGGAUUUAUUCUUAUGUUGAGUUCGGAGAACUCUGGAAUUUUUUGAUUUCAGGAUUGUGUGAUAGAGCUCAUGCUAUUGUGAAAGGAGAGGAGUGGAACUAGCUGCAUUUCAAGCCCGAUUUAUGCAGUAUUGCAUGAAGCAUUGGGAAGGAAGUAAAGGAGGAAGUUGUGGGUUAGGGAGCAUACAAGAGUCUCUUAAAGCGGUUGAGCUGUGAGAAAGAGAAAGAUAGCGUGGUUGAUAGAGGCAGAACUACGUUAAUGAUCUCAUGUACCUACAGAUUGGAAUCAUAUGACCAUCAAUCGAUACGCUGAAAUGUUCCUAUUAACUGUUACAGCUAUUUCACCACAAGAGCCACAUUCUUUACAAUGUCGGCAGCAUCAUUCAGCCUGGGUUAUAUAUUGGAAAAACAUCAGCCGUUGUGUUGUCCCCAUCAGUCUACUCUGAAGGUAUACGUUAGUCAUAUGAACAGCGCUCAAUUAAAGCACGGGUUAUACACACGUGAUGUUCAACAAAAUUGACGGUGCUUCGACAGCAUAUCUUGACACAUUGAUGUUGACUCAAAGUUUGGUGGUAUUCCAGAAUCUUUUUUUUAAAUUUUUUAGCAAAUUUAAUCACAAUAUUACAUAUUAUUUCAUCCAUUCAUGCCCAAGUCAUCGUGGAGCCGAAAAUCCUCAAUCAUUGAUCCACAAGUUUGACAAAGUGCAAUAAUUUAUUGAGAUAUGAACAACUAAAUAAAAUAUUGCAUGCUUUAAAUUAUUGGAAUAUCUCUAGUCUUGUGGUUGUGAGCUUUAACUGCCAUUGCUGAAGUUAAGAGUACAUUUUUUGUGAUUCAACUCUUUUCAAUUUUUUUUGGACAUUUACAUA